GACGUAGGGCGCGAGCGUUGUCCGGAUUUAUUGGGCGUAAAGAGCUCGUAGGCGGCUUGUCGCGUCGGCUGUGAAAUCCCGUGGCUCAACUGCGGGUCUGCAGCCGAUACGGGCAGGCUAGAGUUUGGUAGGGGAGACUGGAAUUCCUGGUGUAGCGGUGAAAUGCGCAGAUAUCAGGAGGAACACCGGUGGCGAAGGCGGGUCUCUGGGCCGAUACUGACGCUGAGGAGCGAAAGCGUGGGGAGCAAACAGG
rnacentral:rRNA from 1 species